rnacentral:rRNA from 1 species
GCUAAACGCGAAGAACCUUACCUACUCUUGACAUCCAGAGAACUUGGCAGAGAUGCUUUGGUGCCUUCGGGAACUCUGAGACAGGUGCUGCAUGGCUGUCGUCAGCUCGUGUUGUGAAAUGUUGGGUUAAGUCCCGCAACGAGCGCAACCCUUAUCCUUUGUUGCCAGCGGUCCGGCCGGGAACUCAAAGGAGACUACCAGUGAUAAACUGGAGGAAGGUGGGGAUGACGUCAAGUCAUCAUGGCCCUUACGAGUAGGGCUACACACGUGCUACAAUGGCGCAUACAAAGAGAAGCGACCUCGCGAGAGCAAGCGGACCUCAUAAAGUGCGUCGUAGUCCGGAUUGGAGUCUGCAACUCGACUCCAUGAAGUCGGAAUCGCUAGUAAUCGUGGAUCAGAAUGCCACGGUGAAUACGUUCCCGGGUCUUGUACACACCG